UACAGAGGGUGCGAGCGUUGUCCGGAAUCAUUGGGCGUAAAGGGCGCGUAGGUGGCGCGGUAAGCGUGCGGUGAAAGCCUGGGGCUCAACCCCGGGUCGGCCGUGCGAACUGCUGGGCUUGAGCACUGUAGAGGCAGGCGGAAUUCCGGGUGUAGCGGUGGAAUGCGUAGAGAUCCGGAAGAACACCGGUGGCGAAGGCGGCCUGCUGGGCAGUUGCUGACACUGAGGCGCGACAGCGUGGGGAGCAAACAGG
rnacentral:rRNA from 1 species